rnacentral:rRNA from 1 species
GACCGAGCCUACUUUAGCUACCGUAAUCUUGCAACUUUGAAGUCAAGAGAACAUGUGGAUAAUUUUUUGAUUUUGUGCGUUCGUCGUUAUCUGUUCAAGCAAGCUCACCCGUCAGUAUCAAGGAAACAUUUCUUCUUCUCUUACAUUGGGGAAACCAUCCUGAGAGGCACUGAUGUUGAUAUUGUAGGCAAUGCUUUCACUGGUGCUAACAGUGCUUUCCCAAUGUGGAGAAGUAAUCAGUUAUUCUUUCCUAUUGGACGGGAGAAACACUGGUUUACCUUUGUUAUUUGCUUAAAGGAGAGGGCUUUUGCAUUUCUUGAUUCUCUAUACGGGGCAAAG